UACGUAGGGUGCAAGCGUUGUCCGGAAUUAUUGGGCGUAAAGAGCUCGUAGGCGGUUUGUCGCGUCUGCUGUGAAAACGCGAGGCUCAACCUCGCGCCUGCAGUGGGUACGGGCAGACUAGAGUGCGGUAGGGGAGAUUGGAAUUCCUGGUGUAGCGGUGGAAUGCGCAGAUAUCAGGAGGAACACCGAUGGCGAAGGCAGAUCUCUGGGCCGUAACUGACGCUGAGACGCGAAAGCGUGGGGAGCGAACAGG
rnacentral:rRNA from 1 species